rnacentral:misc_RNA from 1 species
GCAAACUUGGUCAUUUAGAGGAAGUAAAAGUCGUAACAAGGUUUCCGUAGGGUGAGUCAAGUCUAUUCUCCUGUUUUCGUCGUUCUAUGCUAACUAUCCUCUUAGUGAACCUGCGGAAGGAUCAUUACCGAGUGAGGGUUCCUCGUGAGCCCAACCUCCCACCCUGUGUCGACCGUACCGUGUUGCUUCGGCGGGCCCGUCGCGCCCCCGUGCGCGACCGCCGGAGGGCCUCUGGCUCUCCGGUCCGCGCCCGCCAGGAGCCCUGUCAAACUCGUGAAUCAACGUGGCGUCUGAAGAACCUUUAUAAAUGCAAAUGCAAAACUUUCAACAACGGAUCUCUUGGUUCUGGCAUCGAUGAAGAACGCAGC